UACGGAGGAUCCGAGCGUUAUCCGGAAUUAUUGGGUUUAAGGGGUGCGUAGGCGGACCCUUAAGUCAGUGGUGAAAGUUUGCAGCUCAACUGUAAAAUUGCCAUUGAACCUGAGGGUCUUGAGUGUAAAUGAGGUAGGCGGAAUGUGUUGUGUAGCGGUGAAAUGCUUAGAUAUAACACAGAACACCAAUUGCGAAGGCAGCUUACUAGAAUACAACUGACGCUGAGGCACGAAAGCGUGGGGAUCAAACAGG
rnacentral:rRNA from 1 species